GUGAACCUACAAGGCUAAUGACAGGAUCUCCUGGCUAGAAACACCAUCCAGAAAAUGAAAAGGCUUCCCUAAGUCCAGAAUCCUGAAACAGUGUCAGUGGAGCUGGGUGGUUACAUGUAGCCCAUCCAUCCAGCCUGCUUCCCAGGACUGAUGAGGGGGUGAUAUAUAAACCUCUGUGGGCUUCAUUCCAUAAAUCAGCAGACACUCCCUGGUGUUUGCAUUGUUAACGGCAGCACCUAGCCCUCCAGUGUUGCUGCAGAGACUUGUCCUGAAGCUGCCUCCCCUCCUGGAACUGCCCAAGCCAGUUGGCAAAGGGAAGCAGGUUGCUGGGUGAUUAGGUCUGAAGCUCAUUUUAAAAUCAGAAGAAAAAAAAAGCCUGUCAGCAGAGAUGUAGGAUUGGUGUGCUGCUGAGCUCCUCCCAUCAGGUGACCUCUGAGUGGCCUCGGAUGGAAACUGACAGGACAGGGACUCACGGGCAAAAUGCAUAGCGCCUGGGAGCUGAGCACACUUCAGCCAACCUCAGCGAGUCCCAGACUGGGUUCUCCCAGCUGGUCCUCACUGUCUUGCUUCAUCCCACUCAAGAAAGGUGGUCCAUGAAAUGCUGAACUCUACUGAUCAAUGGCUUCAUGUGGUGGGAAGCAUCAUUUCCUCUGAAACUGACAGCAAUUCCAGGGUUCUAAAACAUUGUCCCUUACCCUCAUGGACACUUAGGAUUCAUAAUACAGAUGGGGAAGAGCGGUAGACCAGAAACAGACAGGGAAGUCAUCGCUGGACUGAAAGUUUAGACCUGCUUCACUCUGUGUGUGUGUGUGUAUACACGUGUAUGAGUGCGUAUGCACAUGUGUGCACCUGUAUGUGGAGGUGAGAGGACAACCUCUGAUACAAUUCCUGAGGCACCAUACACCUUUUCUUGGACAUUGAGUCUCUCACUGGCCUGGAAUCCACCAAAUAGCUUAGGCUGACUGGCCACUGGGAUCUACUUGUCUUGGUCUUCUUAGACCUGGGAUUACAUGACAUGAAUUGCCAUGCCCAGUGGUUUUUAUUUUGAUCUAUUUUAUCGUUUUGUUUAUGUGUAUCUGUGUUUUGCCUGCAUGUGUGUCUGGCUCUGUUUGCACACUUGAUAGCUGUGGAGGCCAGAAGAGGGCAUUGGAUCCCCUAGAACUGAAACUACAGACAGUUUUGAGCCACCAUGUGGGUGCCGAGAAUUGAACCUUGGUCCUCUGCAAGAGGAACAGGUCCUCCUAACAUCUCUCAGUGCCCUCCCCACCAUGUUUUGUUUAUUUGUUUGUUUUUCUUUUUCUUUUAAUAGGUUCUAGUGAUCAAACUCACAUCUUCAUUUUGCACAGUAAAGCACUUUACUGAGCUAUUCACCUGCCCAGUCUUACUGCUUUAUUUUUUACCACUCACCAUUUCAGUUGUGUUUCUAGUGAAGUUUCAUACCUGCAUAAAUACAUAUAGAUGACUUCAUUCUGUGACUAAAAUGUAAUAGUACAUUCCCAGCCUUCCCAACUUUCUAUGCGUCUUUUAUGUAUUGAGUUGUAUCCCCCAAAAUUCAUGUUAAAGUUCUAGAUUUCAGAACCAAGAUGACUUUAUUUGGUUAUGGGUUCUAUACAGGGGUAAUAAAAUUUUAAAAAAAGGUCAUUAGGGUUUGCCCUACUCCAGGUGACCUUAUAAAAAGAGGGAAACAGAGUAUAAAUGUCUGUAAUCCAAGUCCUUGGAAAGCAGAUGCAGGAAGAUUGGAAGCUCAAGGCUAUUGUGGGCUAUACAUCACUGCCCUGCCAUGGGGAGAAUAAUUAAAGUUUGUAGACAGACAUGUGAAGGAAGAAGUUAGCGCAAAUGUGAACUUGGUGAUCUACAAGCUAAGGAGAGAGCCCUAAAAAGACCCUUCCCUUAUAGUCCACAAUCAAAGGCAUUGAACAUGGAUGGACUCACAAUGAAUCCCUGUUGCCUCACCGCGGCAUUUGUGGCACUCUGUUACAACAGCCCAGGAAACUGGUGUCUAAUACCUUUAUCACCAGUCACGGCCUUUGACUGCAGCCUGGGAACUAUUCUGUGUUUUUCACUCUAUAGUUUCACAGGGUUCAGAAUGAAAUCACAGUCAUAUUGUAUGCAGCCUGAAUUUAGCUUCCUUCAUACAGCAUAAGUCUUUUGAGAUUCACCCACACAUUUUUUUCAGUGAUUUUCAUUGCUAAGAAGUACCCCAUUGUAUGGAUACAGAGUUUGUUUAUCCAUUCACCAGUUGAAGGACAUUUGGAUCAUGUCCAGGUUUUGGUUAUUGUAACUAAUGCUUCUGUAAAUGCUCAUGUAUGCAAUUUUUGGGUGUGAGUCCAUGUUUUGAUUUCUGUUGGGCAAAUACCUAGGGGUGGGAUCCCCAGAUGAUAUGAUAAGUGUAUGUGGAAAUUUGCAAGAAACUAUCCAGCCAUUUGCAAAGUUGCCAUUGCAUUCUUGUGUUUCUACCAGCAUUGGGCGAACACUUACUUGGUACAUGUCUUCAUGGUGCUCAGUUUGCUUGCUUGGGUUUUGCCAACCCACCAGGCAUGCGCAUCUAUCUCUCUGUGGUUUUAGAUUUCACUUUACUAAUGUGACAUCUCUUUACGUGUUUAUUUUCCACCCCUAUAACUUCUUUUGUGAACUAUCGAGUUAAGUCUUUCCUCACUUUUAAUUGGGUCAUUGACUUCAUUGAGUUUUGAGAAAAGUCCUUUAUCAAACAUGUUUUGUUAUUGUUUUCAA